rnacentral:rRNA from 1 species
CCUACGGGGGGCAGCAGUAGGGAAUCUUGCGCAAUGGGCGAAAGCCUGACGCAGCAACGCCGCGUGAUUGAUUAAGGCCUUCGGGGUGUAAAGAUCUGUCAGUGGGGACGAAAAUUGACGUUACCCACAGAGGAAGCACCGGCUAACUCCGUGCCAGCAGCCGCGGUAAUACGGAGGGUGCAAGCGUUGUCCGGAAUCAUUGGGCGUAAAGGGUUCGUAGGUGGCGUAUGUAGUCUGGUGUUAAAUGCAGAAGCUCAACUUCUGUACGGCACUGGAUACUGGUAAGCUGGAGUGCGGGAGAGGUAAGGGGAAUUCCUGGUGUAGCGGUGAAAUGCGUAGAUAUCAGGAGGAACACUGGUGGCGUAGGCGCUUUACUGGACCGUAACUGACGCUGAGGCACGAAAGCCUGGGUAGCAAAUAGGAUUAGAUACCCCAGUAGUC